UCUCUUCCACCUCUUCCUUCGCCGAAGCAACUAAAAAUCAAAAACAUACUCGCGGCUUCUUCCUCCCGAUUUCGGAGCUUCUCUCUCUUCCACUCUCUCUCUCUCUCUCUCUCUCUCUCUCUCUCUCCCCCCUCCAUCGAAGCACCUCCAUACACAGAGUUUUUGGGUAAUUUCAUGAUUUAGCGAUCCGUGCAUUUUCCAUAACCCUCUUUACGGAAGGGAUCCAAGGAUUGAAAAAGCAGGGAAAGCAGGGAAGAAGGUUG